rnacentral:lncRNA from 1 species
CCAAAUUGAUACGAGUUAGCAGCAUACAUCUCUUGAAAAUAAGAUGAACCUUUUACUACACUUUUCAAGUUUAAAUUAACUUGAUUUUUAAAUUUAAAACGAAACUUGAAUUCUUAUUGUUUCCAAAAAGUAUGUUGUUAAUAGUGAUAAAAAUAUACACACUUACAUAUUUUUUAUAUCCGGGUAUUUAAAGUACGAUUUAUAGAUCGGCACAGUUUUGUUUAAGAAUUUAUAAGCGUUUAUGUGUUUAUCUGUCUGACCAUUAGAUGUCUGCUUUUGGAAAUGAUUGUUAUAAUUACUACAACACUAGUUCAGGAUGUAAAAAGGUAUAGCCAUAUUAUUUACUUUUAUCAUAAAGGAAGUCACUUUUGAUAAUAUCGUAUGUUAUUUUAAUUUGAUAUAUUAUGGGCGUAAGGCGUUAAUUGGUGAUUGUUUGUCCCGUAUAGCGAUGAUUUUCAGAAUUGUAUGUCAAUCACAUUUAAUGUUCUACUAGUCUACUGGG